AAAGUCGUAACAAGGUUUCCGUAGGUGAACCUGCGGAAGGAUCAUUACUAGAGCAAAGGAUAGGCAGCGCCCCACAGAAGCUUGCUUCGUGGCGGGCUACCCUACUUCGGUAGGGUUUAGAGUCGUCGAACCUCUCGGAGAAGUUCGGUCCUGAACUCCACCCUUGAAUAAAAUUACCUUUGUUGCUUUGGCGGGCCGCCUCGUGCCAGCGGCUUCGGCUGUUGAGUGCCCGCCAGAGGACCACAACUCUUGUUUUUUGUGAUGUCUGAGUACUAUAUAAUAGUUAAAACUUUCAACAACGGAUCUCUUGGUUCUG
rnacentral:misc_RNA from 1 species